rnacentral:misc_RNA from 1 species
UCGUACAACACGGGGGUGCCGGGGCUGUCGCUGACCCUAAAAGGUCGUGCACGCCUCGGACACUCUCGCUCACAAUCCAUCUCACCCUUUGUGCAUCACCGCGUGGGCUCCCCUUUGUUGAAAGGGGGGGCUUGCGUUCUUACACGUACACCCUUUUUAAUGUGAUAGUGUAGAAUGUCAAAUCAAUA